AAAAAUCCAAGAAGAUGAUAAGAAUCCGGAUCGUGGUAGUUAAGAAACUACUCUGAUUAGGGCUCUUAAUCUUUUAACCAAAUAAAUCCAUCGAUAAAGAACUAGGUCUUUACCAACAUCGGAUUAAAAAAAAAAUCAAAGAUCAACUGUUAAGGAAUGAAGGUCCUUGACAGCAUAUGAUCUGUAGAAUAAGAAAUCACUCCCUCUCAGCAUGAUAGAUGAAAAUU
rnacentral:lncRNA from 1 species